ACGACAUCGUUUUGAUGUUUUGAGAGUUAAAACUCCUUCCGGUCUCGAGCUGAAGUCAUUUUCGAUUCCUUCAGCCUCCUCCAUCAAAACUCCGACACUUUCACUUCCAAAUCCCAAUUCCCAGGCAACAAAUUUGAUAAAAUCAUCAAGAGCCCAUGAGUUUUCUCAAGGAUUUGGCUCUAAAGGAGGCUUUUUUCGCACUUGGAGCAAGAGAUUUUCUCACUUGGAGAGUUGGAAUCGGAUUUGCAGCAAAGGAUUUAAGAUCAAACACCUUCAAGUAUAGUGAGGCUGGCUAGAGUACUAAUCACUGAUAAUUAGCUUCUGGGGCACAUGAUGUGGCUGCAUAGACAAGAUUCCUUCAAGGAGAAGUUUGAGGGAUCUCAAUGAAGCCAGUAACAAUGUUGCUGAUAAUCAGCUUUUAAGCUUUGAGCCAUUACCAUCAGAAUUGUAUGUAAACAAUUCCCAA